rnacentral:rRNA from 1 species
UCGAGAAUCUUCCGCAAUGGACGAAAGUCUGACGGAGCGACGCCGCGUGAUGGAUGAAGUCCCUCUGGGACGUAAACAUCUUUUAUGAGGGAGAAAGUUUAUUGAUAGUACCUCACGAAUAAGGGGUUGCUAAACUCGUGCCAGCAGCAGCGGUAAUACGAGUGCCCCGAGUGUUAUCCGGAAUCAUUGGGCGUAAAGGGUGUGUAGGUGGCAUUGUUAGUCACACGUUAAACCCUGGGGCUUAACCCCAGAUCUGCGUGUGAUACGGCAAAGCUAGAGGAUGGCAGGGAUGUAUGGAACUCAUGGAGUAGGGGUGAAAUCCGUUGAUAUCAUGGGGAACACCGAAAGCGAAGGCAGUACAUUGGGCCACUCCUGACACUGAAACNCGAAAGCGUGGGUAGCGAAUGGGAUUAG